GACGAACGCUGGCGGCGUGCUUAACACAUGCAAGUCGAACGAAGUGGCGAACGGGUGAGUCCCGCCUACCCACCCUCCCCCUCAGCGGGGGACAACAGUUGGAAACGACUGCUAAUACCGCAUACUGAAGGAGGGGAUUGCGUCUGAUUAGCUAGUUGGAGGGGUAACGGCCCACCAAGGCGAUGAUCAGUAGCCGGUCUGAGAGGAUGAACGGCCACAUUGGGACUGGGACACGGCCCAGACUCCUACGGGAGGCAGCAGUGGGGAAUCUUCCGCAAUGGACGAAAGGCUGACGGAGCAACGCCGCGUGAGUGAUGACGGCCUUCGGGUGGUAAAGCUCUGUUAAUCGGGACGCGGUACCGGAAUAGAAAGCCACGGCUAACUACGUGCCAGCAGCCGCGGUAAUUC
rnacentral:rRNA from 1 species